GCUUACAUACCACCCUGAACACGCCCGAUCUCGUCUGAUCUCGGAAGCUAAGAAGGGUCGGGCUUGGUCAUUACUUAGAUGGGAGACCGCCUGGGUAUACCAGGUGCUGUAAGCU
rnacentral:rRNA from 1 species